rnacentral:rRNA from 1 species
UGAGUGGCGAACGGGUGAGUAACACGUGAGUAACCUGCCCCUUCUUUGGGAUAACGCCCGGAAACGGGUGCUAAUACUGGAUAUUCACUGGCCUUCGCAUGGGGGUUUGUGGAAAGGUUUUUUCUGGUGGGGGAUGGGCUCGCGGCCUAUCAGCUUGCUGGUGGGGUGAUGGCCUACCAAGGCUUUGACGGGUAGCCGGCCUGAGAGGGUGACCGGUCACAUUGGGACUGAGAUACGGCCCAG